rnacentral:rRNA from 1 species
AGGACGAACGCUGGCGGCGUGCUUAACACAUGCAAGUCGAGCGGUAAGGCCCUUCGGGGUACACGAGCGGCGAACGGGUGAGUAACACGUGAGCAAUCUGCCCUCCACAUCGGGAUAACCCCCGGAAACGGGAGCUAAUACCGGAUACGACCACUUCAGGCAUCUGAUGGUGGUGGAAAGUUCUGGCGGUGGAGGAUGAGCUCGCGGCCUAUCAGCUUGUUGGUGGGGUAAUGGCCCACCAAGGCUUCGACGGGUAGCCGGCCUGAGAGGGUGACCGGGCCACGACUGGGACUGAGACACGGCCCAGACUCCUACGGGAGGCAGCAGUGGGGAAUAUUGGACAAUGGGCGAAAGCCUGAUCCAGCAACGCCGCGUGAGGGAUGACGGCCUUCGGUUGUAAGCUCUUUCGCCCGCGACGAUGAUGACGGUAGCGGGAGAAGAAGCCCGGCUAACUUCGCGCCAGCAGCCGC